rnacentral:rRNA from 1 species
GAACGCUGGCGGCAUGCCUUACACAUGCAAGUCGAACGGCAGCACGGAGCAAUCCUGGUGGCGAGUGGCGAACGGGUGAGUAAUAUAUCGGAACGUGCCCAGUCGUGGGGGAUAACGUAGCGAAAGCUACGCUAAUACCGCAUACGAUCUACGGAUGAAAGCGGGGGAUCGCAAGACCUCGCGCGAUUGGAGCGGCCGAUAUCAGAUUAGGUAGUUGGUGAGGUAAAGGCUCACCAAGCCGACGAUCUGUAGCUGGUCUGAGAGGACGACCAGCCACACUGGGACUGAGACACGGCCCAGACUCCUACGGGAGGCAGCAGUGGGGAAUUUUGGACAAUGGGCGCAAGCCUGAUCCAGCAAUGCCGCGUGCAGGAUGAAGGCCUUCGGGUUGUAAACUGCUUUUGUACGGAACGAAACGGUGAGCUCUAAUACAGUUUGCUAAUGACGGUACCGUAAGAAUAAGCACCGGCUAACUACGUG